rnacentral:rRNA from 1 species
UACGUAGGCAGCAAGCGUUGUUCGGAAUUACUGGGCGUAAAGAGUGUGUAGGCGGUGCUCCAAGUCUGGUGUGAAAUCUCCCGGCUCAACUAGGAGGGUGCGCUAGAAACUGGAAUGCUAGAGGAUGGGAGAGGUAAGCGGAAUUCCUGGUGUAGCGGUGAAAUGCGUAGAUAUCAGGAGGAACACCUGUGGUGUAGACAGCUUACUGGACCAUCUCUGACGCUGAGACACGAAAGCGUGGGUAGCAAACAGG